GAAAGAUGAGGGAGUAAGGAACAGCAAAACAUCAAAAAAAAAACUCUAUUACAGGAUUUGUUUGGUGCGCUUUGUUUUUGACUGCAACCAAAGUCUUGAAUGACUUGAAUAUCUGUUUAGCUCCUCCUCCAUGCCUAGCUGUCACUAAUCAUGUGAGUAAAUUUACAUGUGAUCAUGUGACACUUUGUACUGAAGCUCAGGAUGCUCUUUGGAUUACCUCAAAUCAUGCUGAAGAACACGAUGAUCAGACAUUUUGUUCCAUUCUACUCCUCUAACCUGACGCUGUGUGGAGCCCUCUGGUGGUCGAUUGGCGCCCCUGCGAUGGCCGCGGCCCUGGCCUUGUGCUCCAAAUGGCUGUGAUGAGCGGGUACAGACACAUCAAACUGAAAGAGUCAACAAGCAGAGCCAGGCAUAAACCCCCUAAUUCUUUAAGCGCUGCAUUAAACAGGUAAGGCGCAAAAUGAAAGACUGCACACUGAAAAUAGCUCUCCUGUUUUUAAGAGAGAGAGUCAAAGACAGGGUGAGAUCAAAAGCAAAGAGAGGGAGAGAGAGAACAUUUUACUUUUAAAUCCUCUACAAACAGAAUCAUCGCCAUAGUCGCAUUCUCAUGGGAAACGCACACUAAGUGAUGAAACUGAGUAUGAGGACAGACCACCGUGCCAGCCAGACGCUCCCAUACACACACACACCCACGCACUCCUACACCCAUCAUCUCAUUUCAAAGAGCUACAUUUUCUCCAUUUUGGAAAGGGACAAAAACAGAGAUAGUGAGACAAAACAAAAUAUCCGAGAUGCUUCUUUUUCUUUGCAAAAAUACUAGAAUCAGAGUGUCAUGUCCUUGCAUCACACAUGGGCAAAACGAAAUUUUAGAUCCUUCAAAUGUUACUAGCACACAAAAACAACAUGUAAGAGAAAACCCCAAUUAGUAUCGAGGGCAUGUGUCUUUUUAAUCGGUCUCUCGUGGCAACGCAAACAAAUAACUCCAUCUUUUGACUACCAAUGUUUUACAGGCAUGCUUGUAGUGAGUUUCUUAUGAAAUGUCCUUCUGAUGCUUUGGCAUGUGGGCAGAGGACACAGAUUCUGCAUGAUCCAAGAGAAGAGCCAACUGAAUGUGUACAUCCUCAAAAAAAGGCUCCUACUGAUGAGUCACAGUUAAUCUGUCAUGGAUGAAUGGGACUUUAUGGUUACUCUUUGUUCUGCACAUUCGCUUCAGGCAAAAGAUGUUUUUGACAUCAUCUUCCUUACCACAUUCUGUUUCCUUUUAUUGCAGGCUUAAGUUAGUCACCAUCCUUCACGCUCACACUUUGCCUCUCGUUUUUCUGUCAGACAUCUUCCUUUAUUCCUACCAAUCCUACGUCUUGUAAUUCUCUUAUUGUGCACCUUACUGUUUUUUUUCACCCUUACAUCUUUCAACACCCUUUCUUCCUCCAGUUCCCCUUCUCCAAGUUUCACCUAUUCUCCUUUGUCUCCACUUUCUCCAUGGUUUCUUUCUCACCUUAUACGUCUUAAUGCUCUAUGAAUUCUGAUUCCUAAUAAUCUGAUUUGUCCCACCUAUUAAUCCAACAUUACAAUUUGCAUUUAUUCAAAGUGGCUUACAGUGUACUCACACAAAGUUCUGUAUUUGCAUUCUCUGGGAGUCAAACACUUGACCUUGGAUUUGAGCUCGAGGAACAAGGGAACACAUUUUGUUCAUUAGUUUGCAGACUAAAUAAGAUAUUAAUUAACUAGACCUUUAAAGCCAGGAUUUAUAAGGAAAGGCUCAGAUUAAGAAACUAUGAAUGGGUACAACAAUGUUAACCUGGACCAAUGGUUGAAUCAAAACACUACUGAUUCAAAUAAGCAAAUCAGUCAUUACCGAGAACUACAUGAAACUAACCACUAAUGAGGCCAGAUGAGGAUAUCUCUAACAAGUAUAUCUGAGACCAGUCCUGAAAACAACAUUCAAUCCCUGUGGAUUGAUGAAAUUAUACUUGAUUGAUGAAACGUUUACAUGGCCUAUAAAAGAUUACAAGGCCGUCUUCAUUAUUCGGCACAUAUAGCAAGUUGCAUCAGGAGUCUUUGUGCAUGUAUGCAUUAAAGAGAAUGUGUAUGGGAGGUUUUUGAAAGAAGCUCACUAAGGGCAUACUUACACUAUAGGCACGACUGCCUUGUACUGAGCCCGAGUGCGAUUGGUAAUAGACUGUCAAAUAGUGUAUCACUUAUGCUCUGCAACGAUUUUCAUUGUUUUAAUUGUGCUGCAAGUAUCAGAACAUUAUUACAGAAGCACAUGGCUGCUCAUCAAUAAGGUGAGAACCAGAUCCAUUAUAAAUCUACACUCUAAAAAAUGCUGGGUUAUUUUUUUUAAUCCAAAAGCUGGGUUGAGCCAUUUGGGUAAUUUUUUGGGGUUAUUUUUUCAGUGUUUGGGUAGUUUUUGUGUUACCCAGCUCCUGGGUCAAAUGUAACAAUCCCAUGUUUGGGUAGUCUUUUAGUGUUACCCAGCUCCUGGUUCAGACAUAACAACCCAAUGUUUGGGUAGUUUUUGUGUUACUCAGAUCCUGGGUCAGACGUAACAGCCCCAGCGAUUGAGUCUAAGCGCCAUCGAAUUGAUGCAUUUCUUCGGUAAAAUAAAGGUUAUGAAGACAGUCGCAGUAUAUUUCGGCGAUGAGAGAAACGCAGGGUGGCGGUCUUAUCCGUGAGCAGUUCCCCACCGAACAUGACUCCAGCUCAAGCACGAGAACCAGCGCCGUUACGGUGGAAACAGAAUUACAAAGAGCGGUCAAUUACAAGUGAAUUACUUCUGUUUAAUGUUUAAUUUUUACUUCUAAUGUUUUUUAAACGAGUUGAAAUAGGCAAUAUGUAUAGCCUACAUAAAAACAAUAUAAACAAUGAUGUAAAUGAUAAAUAAAAGAAAAUAAAGGACGUUAUCGUGCAAACCAGUGGUUGUGGAGUAUUUUACAAAAGUUUACAGGAUUUAAGUUAAUCUGUAAACAUUAUUUCAUGUAUAAAGUAAAAAAUAAGCU